rnacentral:rRNA from 1 species
UGCAGUCGAGCGGACAGAAGGGAGCUUGCUCCCGGAUGUUAGCGGCGGACGGGUGAGUAACACGUGGGUAACCUGCCUGUAAGACUGGGAUAACUCCGGGAAACCGGAGCUAAUACCGGAUAGUUCCUUGAACCGCAUGGUUCAAGGAUGAAAGACGGUUUCGGCUGUCACUUACAGAUGGACCCGCGGCGCAUUAGCUAGUUGGUGGGGUAAUGGCUCACCAAGGCGACGAUGCGUAGCCGACCUGAGAGGGUGAUCGGCCACACUGGGACUGAGACACGGCCCAGACUCCUACGGGAGGCAGCAGUAGGGAAUCUUCCGCAAUGGACGAAAGUCUGACGGAGCAACGCCGCGUGAGUGAUGAAGGUUUUCGGAUCGUAAAGCUCUGUUGUUAGGGAAGAACAAGUGCGAGAGUAACUGCUCGCACCUUGACGGUACCUAACCAGAAAGCCACGGCUAACUACGUGCCAGCAGCCGCGGUAAUACGUAGGUGGCAAGCGUUGUCCGGAAUUAUUGGGCGUAAAGGGCUCGCAGGCGGUUUCUUAAGUCUGAUGUGAAAGCCCCCGGCUCAACCGGGGAGGGUCAUUGGAAACUGGGAAACUUGAGUGCAGAAGAGGAGAGUGGAAUUCCACGUGUAGCGGUGAAAUGCGUAGAGAUGUGGAGGAACACCAGUGGCGAAGGCGACUCUCUGGUCUGUAACUGACGCUGAGGAGCGAAAGCGUGGGGAGCGAACAGGAUUAGAUACCCCUGGUAGUCCACGCCGUAAACGAUGAGUGCUAAGUGUUAGGGGGUUUCCGCCCCUUAGUGCUGCAGCUAA